UACGGAGGGUGCAAGCGUUAUCCGGAUUUACUGGGUUUAAAGGGUGCGUAGGCGGACAGGUAAGUCAGUGGUGAAAUCCCCGAGCUCAACUUGGGAACUGCCGUUGAUACUAUCUGUCUUGAAUACCGUGGAGGUGAGCGGAAUAUGUCAUGUAGCGGUGAAAUGCUUAGAUGAUGACAUAGAACACCGAUUGCGAAGGCAGCUCACUACGCGGUCAUUGACGCUGAGGCACGAAAGCGUGGGGAGCAAACAGGGA
rnacentral:rRNA from 1 species